UGGAAGCAGAGGAGUUCCUGGAUGUGGUGGGCACUCCUCCCAUGGCCUCUGGCACACGGCUGGGUAACACAAAGGAGAGUCAGCCUGCUGGGAGCUGCUGCUCAGCCAAGCUAACCUCUGGCUUCCAUGGACUGCCCUACAGCAGGAGAAAAAGCUGCCAGAUCAACUCUGCCAGCCUAAGCAGAGGUAAGGUUUGUUUAAAAGAAGGGAGCAGCAAAUACAGUGGAAACCCAGCUCUUUGCAGUCCCCAGAUGGUGGUAACUGCAGUAGCUGUGCAUGUUCCAGGCAGAGGCAGUUUAUCAAGACAGAUGGUGCAGCCUUAAUGCUGCUUAGGAGCAGAACAGCUUGUGGCAGCCACACUAACACAGAAUAAACUUUCCUCCUGGUGCAACUCUGUUCCUUCUCAAUGGAACAGAUAUAUGGUCUCAGUUACUCAAGGGAAUUUGUAGGCUCCAAGGCUGGAUGACAUUCCAGGUGCUCCAGGUUCAUUCCUCAUCCUAAAACAGCCAGCUUGAGCAAGAGCAAGAUUUAAGUUUCUUAGCCUCAACAUUACUGAAGAGAGACUGAUUAACACCAGCUUGUUCCUAUUUGUGUUCCAAGGUAUGGAUGAGGGCAGACAGACUUAGCUCCAAUGGGUAAGUAUGCAGGAGCACCAGUAAAGAUGGUUUUUAAAAGGAGAAAGAGCAGGAGAGACAAAGAUUUAAGUGAUUCCUUGCAAUUUCUCAGUGGUGGGAUGUAAAGGUAGAAGCCAAACAUUCAUCUCUGCAUUCCUGUGGGGCACCCUUGGCUUCUAAGAAAGGUCCUGACAGCAAUUUCUAAAACCAGGCCAUCUCUGUCUGGAUUCUGCCAUCCCAAGCCAGAAAUGUGCCCUCUAGGUUAAAAUAAGAACCAUUUCCAUGCCCAGAGGAGGCUCAGGCAGGCACGGAGUGCUGCUGCUCCUGCCUGAGUGAAGCAAGGCCAGAGGACACACCUGCCCCGUCGCGGAUGACGGAGCUGAGCUUGGAGCUGAAGAGCACAUCCACGUGGUUCAGGAUGAACUCCACCACCACCGACUGGAUCCGCACCUCCAUGAAGGCGGCCGUGCCGCUGAAGCAGGCGGACUCGAUCUGCUUGGACCUGCAAAGGGACACGGGAGAGGGAAGAGGCUCCUGCUGGGCGAGGCCUGGGCACCUGUGGGGCUGCAGGGCCUGGGGCUCGGGCAGAAAGGGCUGCAGGGUGGUUCUGGGGUUAAAUCUCGGCAAUGCUCACAAAUGAUCACUGACUGUGGGAAUUUAUGGACAAACUUCAGGUCCAGGUUCAAGCAUUACUGACCAGGCAAGAGGAACACUGGGCUGGGAGGAAAAGGGAGCGUGGGACAGGUCUGAAUUGAGGUUAAUACACUGAACAUCCAAAAUCAAGAGCUUUUUGUUAACUCAUCUCCAUGACUGCCACGGUUUAAGGCAGUGUUGUACAAAGCUGCUGUGGCCUCUGAGAUUUUCCCUCAAGCCGGGAGCAUCUCCACCUGAUCCUUCUGAAUGAAUGCCCCAGGACUCACCAAAGCAAACUCAAACACGAGGUCACUCCACUGCCUGUGGGAGAACUGCCAGAAAGAAGAGCCCACCUGCAGGAACUGGGAGUCUCCAAGGGCAGACUGGACAGGGCUUGGAGUAACCUGGGGAAGGUGUCCCUGCCCUUGGCAGAGGGUGGCAUUGGAUGACCUUUAAUAUUUCUCCCAACCCAAACCCUUCUGGGAUUCCAUGAUGAACUGCACACUCAGAUUUCUCAGGUUGGUAACGACAGGAAGUCAGAAAUCAGUACAAUAAAGGUUAGGGGGAUAAUAUUUUUUUUCUUUUAAAGCAAAUUUUUAAAGUUAUACCAUUAAUUUUAAAGUGCCCUAUCAUCCAGAUUCAAAAGAGAUUUAUCCAAGUUAACUUCUGUAAGUUUGAAUUCUUGCAGCCAGAAGUUGUCAAAUUAGACUCUAGAGAUUUAUGCAGUGGGAAAUCAGUGAUGCCACUGUAGAAAUUCUCCUGGAUGAUCAAGGACACAUCAGUUUCAUCUAACCAGGAGAGGAGAAAUUACCCUCUAAAAGAGGGUUCAGGGAAUUCUUCCUUGUCACUACUGACAGAACUGCAGCCAGUGGAACUGUGUUGUGUGAGACAAGAUAAUACAGGGGCUGUUUUACAUCACUCAUCAGAAACUUGCCAGCUGAUCUUAAAUCCUGCUUAGAGCAAUUCCCCAUAUAUUACAGGAGGAGAAGAGCACAUUGGGUCAAGAGAGGAAGAGCUCUUUCCAGCUGCUGAAAGCUGGGAUUUUCUGGACUAUCUGUUGUUUAUGAAUGUAAACAUUUCUUUUGUAUUGAAAUGGGAAAAGCCCAGAGUACCUGAGGAGGUUUGGAGCCCAGACGAUGGCCAAGUUCUUGGUGUGCAUAUUUGUGAUGGAGCAAUAAUCAGCCAGACGAGCCAAGUGUCUCAUUAGGAACUCCAGUGUCCUGGAAAACAGCAGAGAGGCAAAUGUUGAGCACCACUGAGCAAAGCCAGGCCAAGAUCCAAAGCACAAACCCAGCACAUUAUUUCCUUUUGGUUUGACAGCUCCCAGAAAGGAAUGCUGAACUCUUUCCCCUCAUCCCCACGGUAGACCUGGCUUUGGCAAUACUAACACAGGAUGCACUGAGGGGAGGCUCUCCUGACUGGUCCAGGCUCAAGAAAAUGACAGAUUCAGGAAAAACCCUCUGUAGGUGUGUGACAGCGAUGAGGGGCUGCUCAGGGAUGUGUGGGGAAGGAUGUGGAAUGCUAAUCCCGGGAUGGGGGGAGUAUUGAUUUACACACUCCAGAAUACUGAAAAUACUGGCAGCAGGCUUCUCAGAGGUGGGUAAGGCAGAUGGAAGGUUAAACGUCAGAGGCUUCUGUUCACAUUAAAAAAAGGUGGCAUUAAAUAUUAAUAUUAAAAAAUAUUAAGCACUGUUGUAUUUAAUACAUGCUAGGUAGGAGGGAGCAGGAGGUGGCAGUGAAAAUGCUGCUGUACCUUCCUGGUGCUCCUGGCUUGUGUCUGUCUCACAGCCUAUUCUUUUUUGGGGGGAAGCAAGAUAGAGCAGAGAGGGUGUUUUGGGGCUCAAAAUUCCACAAAUAGACAAGAUUGGAAGUGAAGAAAAUGGCUUUGUCUGGAAACCAAACAGACACCUCCUGCCUGCAACUUCUCAUCACUGAGCAGCAGAAAAAUAAAGUGUUUUUUCCUUUUUUCAAGCAAACCCCAGGAAAGAAGAGCAGCACCCUGUGACCUACAGCAGUCCUGCUGUUGGCUGUGCCCCCUCUCUGGGACUCACGUGCUGCUGGUACCAGAACUCAGUUUAACCAGCCCCAUAAGGGAGGGGCAGACUGGAGACAAAAUACAAUUCACCAAGUCUGGCUGAAGGUCUGAG